GGCCAGGUUUGUGACCUGGCAGGACAGCUUGGCUGACUUGGUGAGGAAGAUGCCGACAAAGGAGGGGGGGAUGGCGAAGAUUCUGAUAGGGCCAGGUGACUUGGGGCC